rnacentral:rRNA from 1 species
UACCGGCUCUGAGAGGAGGGGCCCGGAGAUGGGUACUGAGACACGGACCCAGGCCCUAUGGGGCGCAGCAGGCGAGAAACCUUUGCAAUGUGCGAAAGCACGACAAGGUUAAUCCGAGUGUCUCCUGCUAAAGGAGUCUUUUGUCAGUUGUAGAAUCACUGGUGAAUAAGGGGUGGGCAAGUUCUGGUGUCAGCCGCCGCGGUAAAACCAGCACCUCGAGUGGUCAGGAGGUUUAUUGGGCCUAAAGCAUCCGUAGCCGGUUGCAUAAGUUUUCGGUUAAAUCUAUGCGCUUAACGUAUAGGCCGCCGAAAAUACUGUGCAGCUAGGGAGUGGGAGAGGUACACGGUACUCGAUAGGAAGGGGUAAAAUCCUUUGAUCUAUUGAAGACCACCUGUGGCGAAGGCGGUGUACCAGAACACGUUCGACGGUGAGGGAUGAAAGCUGGGGGAGCAAACCGGAUUAGAUACCCGGGUAGUCCCAGCUGUAAACGAUGCAGACUCAGUGAUGCAUUGGCUUGUGGCCAAUGCAGUGCCGCAGGGAAGCCGUUAAGUCUGCCGCCUGGGAAGUACGUACGCAAGUANUGAAACUUAAAGGAAUUGGCGGGGGAGCACCACAAAGGGGUGAAGCGUGCGGUUCAAUUGGAGUCAACUA